rnacentral:misc_RNA from 1 species
GGGGAAGAAGGCAGCUAACCACAUAGAAGAUGUUCAUCAGCUGAGGCUUUUGUAUAAUAGACAUCUCCAAUGGCGGUAUGCUAAUGCCAGGUCAGAUGCAGCAUUGCACACGCAGAAAGCUAAAACUGAGAAAACAUUGUACAAUGUAUGGAGAAAUACCUCAGACCUAUGGACUUCUGUUAUUAAAAAGAGAAUUGCGCUACAACAGGUUAAGCUGAGGUUGAAGCUUUUUGCAGUUCUAAAUGAACAGCUUACCUACCUUGAUGAGUGGGCUUCAAUUGAAGGGGAUCAUACCAGUUCAUUAUCCCAUGCUAUACAAGACCUACAAGCAUGCACUCUCCGUCUUCCAAUAACUGGACAAGCUAAGGGUGACAUUGAAAGUGUUAAGGAAGCUGUUUGCUCAGCUGUUGAUGUAAUGCAGGCAAUGGGAUCUUCCAUGUGUUUUAUAUU